GGAAGAUGGAAGCUGAGGAAUGAUGAAGACAAUGGAAUCAAAGGCAAUUGAUCCCGCCACAUUUGAAGAACCACAAAAGGAGGCUGAGUGAGCUGAAAGAAAUACACAAGUGGAUCAGCAACAUGACAGCUGCUGCAGUGAAAUCUGGAUUGUAAUAUGUCAGUUUCCAACCCAUCACAUACAAUCCAGACAGAGACAUAGCUUUUUGUCUGCCUCGUUGUGAUUUCCCUGUCUGGUGCGGUUUGGGUCACAUCUGUUGGCUGCAUUCUCAUCUUCAUGAGAUCUGCAUUGACUGAUAGUUUAAACCCCAUGUUUAUCUAUGUCUGCGGCUCUUAUUUCUCUCACAGGGAAGUCUCCAGAGAAGCCCAGUAUCCCCUGAUGUGAGAAUCUUGCUUGGUUUUAUUAAUCAACAGCCAGUGCCCACAUUCAGGCAGUUCUGUAUGUUUCAUGC
rnacentral:lncRNA from 1 species